GGGGAAUAUUGGACAAUGGGCGAAAGCCUGAUCCAGCCAUGCCGCGUGUGUGAAGAAGGUCUUCGGAUUGUAAAGCACUUUAAGUUGGGAGGAAGGGCAGUAAGUUAAUACCUUGCUGUUUUGACGUUACCAACAGAAUAAGCACCGGCUAACUUCGUGCCAGCAGCCGCGGUAAUACGAAGGGUGCAAGCGUUAAUCGGAAUUACUGGGCGUAAAGCGCGCGUAGGUGGUUUGGUAAGAUGGAGGUGAAAGCCUGGAGCUCAACUCCAGAACUGCCUUUGAUACUGGAAGUCUUGAGUUCGGGAGAGGUGAGUGGAACUGCGAGUGUAGAGGUGAAAUUCGUAGAUAUUCGCAAGAACACCAGUGGCGAAGGCGGCUCACUGGCCCGAUACUGACGCUGAGGCACGAAAGCGUGGGGAGCAAACA
rnacentral:rRNA from 1 species